rnacentral:rRNA from 1 species
GACGAACGCUGGCGGCGUGCUUAACACAUGCAAGUCGAACGGAAAGGCCCUGCUUUUGUGGGGUGCUCGAGUGGCGAACGGGUGAGUAACACGUGAGUAACCUGCCCUUGACUUCGGGAUAACUUCAGGAAACUGGGGCUAAUAACGGAUAGGAGCUCCUGCUGCAUGGUGGGGGUUGGAAAGGUUCGGCGGUUGGGGAUGGGCUCGCGGCCUAUCAGCUUGUUGGUGGGGUAGUGGCUUACCAAGGCUUUGACGGGUAGCCGGCCUGAGAGGGUGACCGGCCACAUUGGGACUGAGAUACGGCCCAGACUCCUACGGGAGGCAGCAGUGGGGAAUAGUGCACAAUGGGCGGAAGCCUGAUGCAGCAACGCCGCGUGCGGGAUGACGGCCUUCGGGUUGUAAACCGCUUUCGCCUGUGACGAAGCGUGAGUGACGGUAAUGGGUAAAGAAGCACCGGCUAACUACGUG